CAGUAAUGCCAGCUACCUGAGGGCAGCCCGGGCAGGGAACCUAGAGAAGGCUUUGGAUUACCUGAAGACUGGGGUCGAAAUCAACAUCUGUAACCAGAAUGGCCUCAACGCCCUCCAUCUUGCCUCUAAAGAAGGCCAUGUGGAGGUGGUUACAGAACUCAUCAAGCUGGGAGCCAAUGUGGACGCAGCAACUAAGAAAGGGAACACAGCUCUCCACAUAGCGUCUCUGGCUGGUCAGGUGGAUGUAGUGAAGGAGCUGGUGACCAACGGAGCUAACAUCAACGCACAGU